rnacentral:lncRNA from 1 species
AGAAUUCAACAAAGUUGCCUAUCCUAAGGGAGCAUUCUCAAACAUUUAACUCUACACAAUUUCCCUUUCUUUGAUCCCUAUCUUUUUCUUUUUUUUUUCUUUUUUUUUCUUUUCAAAUCCACACAACCAUGAGCAUUUUCUUUGCUUUUUCUUUGCUCAAGGGUGAUUUCUUUUUCUUGUUUCUUUUCAUAUUUUUACCCUUUCAUAAGAAACUCACUUUUCCAAGUUUCUAAUCACUUCUCAAUUUACUCUCCCCAACUUUAGAUUCCAAAACCAAAUUUAUUAAAUAAUGCUCCCUACUUAGACAUAAGCAAAA